CAGGAGGCCUGGGGAACAAUGAGUAAGGCAGAGAGGGAACAGAGGCUUGUAGGCCACUGUGCGGACUUUGGCGUUUAGUCUGAGCUGGGGACCCACUGGAGGAUUCUGAGCAGAGCAGUGACAUGAUUGCGCUUACAUUUUUAAGACUUACUCUGGCUGCUGUGUUGAGAACAGAUGACCAUGGGGCAUAGACAGAAGCAGAAAGGUUGGCUGGAGGAAACGGAGAGAAAAUUUACAUCUGGUGGAGCAUAAAGAAACCAGCUAGAGGACUGGCCUUGUCAUUAUCUAACUGUGUUGUGACGAACUGGCACUUCCUCAUCUCUAAAAGCAGGGCCCUGAACUAGAAGACCGCCACGUCACAUGAUGAAAAACACUCAAACUAACACUUCUUACCCUUGUGAGCAGCCCUACUAGCAGAUUUAAUGUGGGAGGAGGUUCACACUACGGGAUAAAAAUCAAGUUUUAGGAUUCCAUUUUAUCUAAGCUGACCACCACAAGGCAGAGGAUCAAGACUUAGCUAAAUACAGCCCUCAGGCAAGCUUCACUUCCCCAUCUGUGAAGGGAGAAUAAAUACACAUGUUAAGAUAAAUGAGAGAGCUGGUCAAGUGUUUCGAGCUCUUUGGCAGACAAGCCUGACUUUCCAAAAAAAGACAAACCACAACUUCGGAGCCAGUGCUAUUUCUUCUGUGCAUGGUGAGGUGACUUCCCCAGUUGUAAAGGAUUUAGAGCUGAAAUUCCAUAUUGUCUGGAGCUAUAAUUACAAGUCUCUUGCACUAAAACAGAGGUCAGCUGGCCUAAAGCAUGCUGAAAGAAGGUAAAUGUCUGGUCACAUUUCCAUGUGGUAUACUCCUUUCCUAACUUUUUGGCACAAAUUUCAUGUUGAUAGAACAUUCAUUCACUCCACAAAUAUCUGGCAAGUAGGUGCUGAGUGCUGUGUAUAGACGAGUGAACACAACACAGACCCUGCCCUCAUUCUGUGUAGAGGACAGCAGAGGAGUAGGCACAGGGCUCUCAGCUAGGGCAGUACCACCCUAUGUCUGGGGGGCAUUUCGGACAUUUGGGAGGUGCUGUCAAUUGCCAAAAUGAAUGGGGAAACUCUGCUAGCAUUUAAGGGUGGGAGCCGUGGUGCCACAAUGACCUGUAUGAGGAAAACCAGCUCCAGGCCCGCAUGACUAGUGAGUGUACUGCUAGACAUUCAUAAACAUGAAAAACUCUUUUGUGGGAAAACAGCCUGUUGCAUAGCAAGAGUGAUCCAUCUUGAAGUAAAACUGCCAUGAUGACCAAUGUUUGACGCCUACAAUUCAAGGUGGUCCAGUAGCACAGAUAAGCCCUCACAACCUCCCCGUGGUCAUGAGUUUCUAAAGGAAGUCAGGGAUGAUGAGCUUCCUGUGUCUUUACCCUAAAAGCUUGCUAUAUAAAGGAUACUUUCUGGAGGUUGGUUGUGAGAAUCCACCAUCUCUUGGCCUACCUAGACAUCGUUUCUGUUUCUAAGUCUCUAUUAAAUAUUUCUUUCUGAGAA
rnacentral:lncRNA from 10 species